rnacentral:rRNA from 1 species
GUCACUGCUAUUGGGAUUCGACUAAGCCAUGCGAGUCGAGAGGGUUCGGCCCUCGGCAGACUGCUCAGUAACACGUGGAUAAUCUGCCCUUAGGUGGAGGAUAACCUUGGGAAACUGAGAAUAAUACUCCAUAGAUCUAAGAUGCUGGAAUGCACUUAGAUUAAAAGCUCCGGCGCCUAAGGAUGAGUCUGCGGACUAUCAGGUAGUAGUUAGGGUAACGUCCUAACUAGCCUACAACGGAUACGGGUUGUGAGAGCAAUAACCCGGAGACGAUAUCUGAGACACGAUAUCGGGCCCUACGGGGCGCAGCAGGCGCGAAACCUUCACAAUGUGCGAAAGCGCGAUGAGGGAAUCCCAAGUGCUUGCACUUAAGUGUAAGCUGUUUCUUUGUUUAAAAAGCAGAGAGAGGAAGGGCUGGGUAAGACGGGUGCCAGCCGCCGCGGUAAUACCUGCAGCUCAAGUGGUGACCGCUAUUAUUGGGCCUAAAACGUUCGUAGCCGGCUGAGUAAAUGCUUGGGUAAAUCGUGCCGCUUAACGGUACGAAUUCCGGGUAGACUACUCAGCUUGAGACCGGGAGAAGCUAGAGGUACUCCUGGGGUAGAGGUGAAAUUCUGUAAUCCUGGGGGGACCACCAGUGGCGAAGGCGUCUAGCUAGAACGGGUCUGACGGUGAGGAACGAAACCCUGGGGCGCAAACCGGAUUAGAUACCCGGGUAGUCCAGGGCGCAAACGCUGCUUGCUUGAUGUUAGCUGGGCUCCGGGCUCAGCUAGUGUCGGAGAGAAGUUGUUAAGCAAGCUGCCUGGGAAGUACGAUCGCAAGAUUGAAACUUAA